rnacentral:rRNA from 1 species
GUGCCAGCAGCCGCGGUAAUACGUAGGGUGCAAGCGUUGUCCGGAAUUAUUGGGCGUAAAGGGCUCGUAGGCGGUCCAUCGCGUCGGGAGUGAAAAGCUGGGGCUUAACCCCAGUCCUGCUUCCGAUACGGGUGGACUAGAGGUAGGUAGGGGAGAACGGAAUUCCUGGUGUAGCGGUGAAAUGCGCAGAUAUCAGGAGGAACACCGGUGGCGAAGGCGGUUCUCUGGGCCUUACCUGACGCUGAGGAGCGAAAGCAUGGGGAGCAAACAGGAUUAGAUACCCUGGUAGUCC